rfam:Salmo salar isolate Sally breed double haploid chromosome ssa15, whole genome shotgun sequence.
UAUGCACUCUACUGCAAGUUGCUCUGGAUAAGAGCGUCUGCUAAAUGACUAAAA